rnacentral:lncRNA from 1 species
CCACCACCGCUUGCAGCAGUGUUGGUCACAACGACAACCAACCGGGCCCACACAGCUGGUCCUCGCAGAAUAAAGGAAAGAAAAAGUAAAAAAUAAAAUAAAAUAAUGAACCUACGUGUGCACGACAACUUCUCUCCUUGACAAGCAGUACACUCCUUCAAGAUCUCUCUCAUAAGUUAGAAAGUAAAGGAUGACAAGUUGCAAUUUGAAAAGGAAUGAAGUGAAGCUUUGUAUUUAUAAAGGUCGGGCAUCCUAGGUCAAGGAGGAAUCACAAGCCUAUU